GUGUCUAUUGAAAGGAGAGAUGGUUAGCACUCCCCUUGACAAGGAUGGAACACAUAAUUUGGUCAAGGCACUAAUUAACCAAACGUUUUCA
rfam:Bombyx mori DNA, contig: Bm_scaf47_contig25550, strain: p50T/Dazao, build 2, whole genome shotgun sequence.